UACAGAGAGUGCAAGCGUUAAUCGGAAUUACUGGGCGUAAAGAGCGCGUAGGUGGGUUCUUAAGUCGGAUGUGAAAGCCCCGGGCUUAACCUGGGAACGGCAUCCGAUACUGGGAACCUAGAGUAUGGUAGAGGGAAGUGGAAUUUCCGGUGUAGCGGUGAAAUGCGUAGAUAUCGGAAAGAACACCAGUGGCGAAAGCGGCUUCCUGGCCCAAUACUGACACUGAGGUGCGAAAGCGUGGGGAGCAAACAGG
rnacentral:rRNA from 1 species